rnacentral:misc_RNA from 1 species
GUAUUUGAUUUGUGUUGCGUGUUCGCAAAAGAAGUUCAGGCGGUUAGGAAUCAGUUUGAACCGUUUGAGAAGGGGCAGGCCGCCGUAAGACGGACGCAUCAUGUGCGCCGCAAACGGUCGGGGGAAUCGCUCCCCCGAAACCUGCCACUGUACAGUUGUUCCCGAUGCGACAGUGGUUCUUUAGCCGGAUCUCACAGCAACCUCCGAGUAGAAGUUCUUUUAAUGAUCCUUCCGCAGGUUCACCUACGGAAA